rnacentral:rRNA from 1 species
AGCAAUCUGCCUUGGAGUGGGGAAUAACGGCUGGAAACAGCCGCUAAUACCGCAUGAUACAGCUGGGAGGCAUCUCCCUGGCUGUCAAAGAUUUAUCGCUCUGAGAUGAGCUCGCGUCUGAUUAGCUAGUUGGCGGGGUAACGGCCCACCAAGGCGACGAUCAGUAGCCGGCCUGAGAGGGUGGACGGCCACAUUGGGACUGAGACACGGCCCAAACUCCUACGGAAGGCAGCAG